rnacentral:rRNA from 1 species
CCUACGGGUGGCAGCAGUGAGGAAUAUUGGUCAAUGGGCGAGAGCCUGAACCAGCCAAGUCGCGUGAAGGAUGACUGCCCUAUGGGUUGUAAACUUCUUUUACAGGGGAGUAAAACGUUGCACGUGUGGGGUUUUGUGAGUACCAUAUGAAUAAGCAUCGGCUAACUCCGUGCCAGCAGCCGCGGUAAUACGGAGGAUGCGAGCGUUAUCCGGAUUUAUUGGGUUUAAAGGGAGCGUAGGUGGAAUGUUUAGUCAGUGGUGAAAGUUUGCGGCUCAACCGUGAACUUGCAGUUGAAACGGGCUGUCUUGAGUACAGUAGAGGUACGCGGAAUUCGUGGUGUAGCGGUGAAAUGCUUAGAUAUCACGAAGAACUCCGAUUGCGAAGGCAGUUCACUGGACUGCAACUGACACUGAGGCUCGAAAGUGUGGGUAUCAAACAGGAUUAGAUACCCUAGUAGUC